AACGAACGCUGGCGGCGCGUCUUAAGCAUGCAAGUCGAACGGCAGGAGAGGAGCUUGCUUCUCUCCUAGAGUGGCGGACUGGUGAGGAACACGUGGGUAAUCUACCCUUAAGAUGGGGAUAGCUGCUAGAAAUAGCAGGUAAUACCGAAUACAAUCGGCAUAUCACAAGAGGUGUUGAGGAAAGGAAGCUACGGCUUCGCUUGAGGAUGAGCUUGCGUCCCAUUAGCUAGUUGGUGAGGUAAAGGCCCACCAAGGCGACGAUGGGUAUCCGGCCUGAGAGGGUGAACGGACACAUUGGGACUGAGAUACGGCCCAAACUCCUACGGGAGGCAGCAGCUAAGAAUAUUCCGCAAUGGACGGAAGUCUGACGGAGCGACGCCGCGUGGAUGAAGAAGGCUGAAAAGUUGUAAAAUCCUUUUGUUGAUGAAGAAUAAGGGUGAGAGGGAAUGCUCAUCUGAUGACGGUAAUCGACGAAUAAGCCCCGGCUAAUUACGUG
rnacentral:rRNA from 1 species